AGCUCAGAGUUCCAGCGCUUAAAACAUGGCGGACGGAGCCGGCACUGCGGGGAGUUUCACUACAAAUGGAUGAACGCGGGCCGGGGAAGGUGAACCCUGGUCAGACCGGCUGGAGGCAGCGCCUUUAUGAAUAGUUUUUUUCUUUAAAUUUAAUAAAGUUUUCUCUCUUAACAUUA